AUUGCGCGUCAACUUGUGAACUGCAGGACACAUGAACAUCGACAUUUCGAACGCACAUUGCGGUCCUCGGAUACUGU
rnacentral:rRNA from 1 species